rnacentral:rRNA from 1 species
AUGGAGGAGGAAGCAACAUCCCAGCGCCGCGCGCAGCAGCCAGCAUGCAAGAAUGACAGCACCAAGCAGCUCCCUAGCAGCGCCGGCGCUAAACCGCUCCGCCACAACCCCCUCCUCGUCGUCAACUUCAUCCUCAUGGCCGUCGGUUCGGCGUGCGGCCCGCUCCUCCUCCGCGCCUACUUCCUCCACGGCGGGACCCGCAAGUGGCUCUCCAGCCUGCUCACGACUGCCGGUUGGCCGCUCCUGCUCGCGCCGCUCAGCGUCUCCAUUCUCUCCCGCCGCCGGCACAACAGAUACGGCGACACGGCCACGCGGCUCUUCCUCAUGUCGCCCCGCCUCCUGGUAGCGACCGUCGCCGUCGGCCUCAUGACCGGCCUCGACGACUUCCUCUACGCCUACGGGCUGGCAUACCUCCCGGUGUCCACCUCCUCCAUCCUCGUCUCCACGCAGCUGGCCUUCACGGCCGCCUUCGCGCUGCUGCUCGUGCGCCAGCGGUUCACGGCCUUCUCCGUGAUCGCCGUUGUGCUGAUCAGCGUCGGCGCCGCCAUGCUGGGGAUGAACGCCGGAGGGGGCCGCCCCGCGGGGGUGACCCGGGUGCAGUACUACGCCGGGUUCGGCAUGACGCUGGGCGCCGCAGCGCUGUACGGCCUCGUGCUGCCCGUCGUGGAGCUCAGCCAGGCGAGGCACGCAGCUCGCGCAGGUGCGGCCGUCACGUACACUCUUGUCAUGGAGAUGCAGAUCGUGAUCGGCUUCACCGCCACGGCCUUCAGCGCCGUCGGGAUGCUUGUGAACAACGAUUUCCAAAUAUUAGUACCAAACGAAGUCCAAAUGCCAUGA